rnacentral:rRNA from 1 species
UACGUAGGGUGCGAGCGUUGUCCGGAAUUAUUGGGCGUAAAGAGCUCGUAGGCGGUUUGUCGCGUCUGCCGUGAAAGUCCGGGGCUCAACUCCGGAUCUGCGGUGGGUACGGGCAGGCUAGAGGUAGGUAGGGGAGAAUGGAAUUCCCGGUGUAGCGGUGAAAUGCGCAGAUAUCGGGAGGAACACCGGUGGCGAAGGCGGUUCUCUGGGCCUUACCUGACGCUGAGGAGCGAAAGCGUGGGGAGCGAACAGG